UACGGAGGGCGCAAGCGUUAAUCGGAAUUACUGGGCGUAAAGCGUGCGCAGGCGGUUUGCUAAGUCAGGUGUGAAAUCCCCGGGCUUAACCUGGGAACUGCGCUUGUUACUGGCAGGCUUGAGUGUGGCAGAGGGGGGUGGAAUUCCACGUGUAGCAGUGAAAUGCGUAGAGAUGUGGAGGAACACCGAUGGCGAAGGCAGCCCCCUGGGCUAACACUGACGCUCAUGCACGAAAGCGUGGGGAGCAAACAGG
rnacentral:rRNA from 1 species